UACGAAGGGUGCAAGCGUUACUCGGAAUUACUGGGCGUAAAGCGUGCGUAGGUGGUUUGUUAAGUCUGUUGUGAAAUCCCCGAGCUCAACUUGGGAAUUGCAAUGGAUACUGGCAGGCUGGAGUAUGGUAGAGGAAGGUGGAAUUCCCGGUGUAGCAGUGAAAUGCGUAGAGAUCGGGAGGAACACCAGUGGCGAAGGCGGCCUUCUGGACCAAUACUGACGCUCAUGCACGAAAGCGUGGGGAGCAAACAGG
rnacentral:rRNA from 1 species